UUUCCUUUUCCCACCAAAUUUCUUAACAAAUUCAUUUUUCCACUAUUCCUCCUCUUCUUCACAUGCAUUAUACUUAACCCUUUUGCGGUUGCACGAUUUUUCUUCUACACAAAAAAUUUCCACCAAUCCAAGCAACAAUGUCCAACAGAGGGAAAGGAGGAAAAGGUCUUGAAAAGGGAAAGAAACUCGAAUGUUCUCAAGAUCUUCCUAAAAAAUUUCAUUCGCAACAUCGUCACUUACACUGAGCACACUCUCCAGAAGACUGGCACCACCAUGGAUGUUGCGUACGCGCUCAAUAGGCAAGGACGUACUCUAUAAAACUUCGGAAGUUUGGGUUAAUGAAACCUAUGGCUUGGAUUUAGGGGUUUUGUGGUACAAUUAUUUUUUUUAAUGAUAUUUGUAAUCUACAAUCGUUUUUCUUGUUUCCAUGUCUUUGUUAUAAAUAGGUCAACUACCAAAAAUGUAAUUGAUGAAGAAACUGGAAAACUUUGGUUGUGGGAUUAAUAAAGAAAUUGAAAACUUGCAGAAAUGGUGAAAUGAUUCUCCAUGCCUACUUCUACGUUGUGGUAUUUUUAGCUCAACAACAAGCGGCGGGGAGUUCUUCGUAAGGCAGAGGCUACGGCGGAGAAGAUGGGAGUGCCAAGAUCAGGAGGGGAGCGUUACUGGCAAUGAAAUAUGUGUUUAGAAGAAAGUAGAAACCUGCUUAGAUGAGUGCUUAUACUAACAAGACGAAUUCCAAGGGAGUAACCUUAGGGUUGUGAAUUAAGAAGGAAGCCACCUGCCGUAUUUCAAGGAAGAAAAUGAUUAUUUGGAGAAGUUUAAAUUCUCAAGGUGUGAGGUGGAGUUCAUAAUGAUGAGAUGUUUUUUGAUUUUAUAGCAUUUGUUUUUCAAUUACGCGUAACAGAAGUUUAUGUUAGUGGGGUAAACAAUUUCCAUUUCUUAGUUUGAACAGGGGCAUUUGAAGGAUUUACUUAUUUUAUAUUUUUUAUAUAUCUGUUGUUCUAACAA